GCGCCGUGCCCCCCCAACCCCCACCCGCCGUCCUGCCCCGUUCCCUUCUGCUUCCCUUCCCGGCUCCUCUCCCCGUCCCGUCCCAUCCCCUCCCGCCCGGCCCGGCUCGGCCGGCAGCCCCGCUCACCUGGGCGGAUUUCUUGCAGGGUCCGGACUGCAGGAACCUGGCGAUCAGUGUAUCUACAUGACUAGACGCUGUGGAGUGCUAUUUCAGAGUUCUUCCUGCUGUUACCACAAGGAUGCAGCCCGUCCUGCUGGCAACCUGCUCUCAUGAUGCUUCAGGAUACCAGUCAGGUGUGUGACAUCCAGCUGCUCCGCAUGACUCGCCUACACCUUAAUGCAGGCGUGGAAGUUGUUUGUGGCAGGCGCUUGGGUUACCUGGCUGACGCAUAAACUCCAUUUUCUUCUUCGUCCUCCAAAGCUCUCAAGCUGCUAAUGAGAAUUUAAAUAGCCACAAUAAAUAAAUGAAGCAUCCCCGCUUAACCAUCGUAGCUCUAGGAUUUUUUUAUAAGGCAGAUUCUUGGUUAUCACUUAAAGAGAUGUGGGGAGCCACCUUCCUAAGCUGUUACCUCGGCUCUAGGGGCUUUCCAUUAGUAAUAACUCUUGCAGUGUGACACUGGAGCCUUUGAAGUUAGUCCUGUUAGUCCUAUGGGAGUUUGGGUGUAAAACAGUUCUGGAAACAAAUUACCUCCUAGGAAAAAAACCUUCUGAUAUUCUAUAUCUUUAGGAGUAAUAUUUCUCUUUCCUGUCUAAAGAUCUGAUAAUUGCAAGCUCGUCUUAUUUUGUAUGCUAGGGAUGCAAAGGAAGAACGUAGAUAGUGUAUCGUAAUAUGUUUUGAAAGUGCACAUCAAUCUUUCUGAGCUAAAUUUAAUUGUCAGGAGAAAACACAGCACCAUAAACAUUGUGUAGCACCAGGUCCUCCUGUCUUCUAGUAAUACCUAAUAUAUUCUUGAUGGAUAUGGUGUCUCUUUGCCCCCCCUUGGCUGAUGUCUUGCUGAACCUUUCUGCUCACAAUUUGCUUUUAUGUGAGCUCGGAGGCAGUAGCAUAUAAGCUGCACCACCACAAAGAGGCAGGAUGAUUCUUUUAGGGCCUGUAUAGAGCCAGUGGGAAUUCCUACAGGAACUGAAAUGGGCUCUCAAAUUGAAAGCCAAGUUAGAAAAUGUUCCCAAACGAAGCUCAUCUAUCCCUUGUGUGUGUCCUCCCCGCACCAUUAGCACUGGAAGCCUUGCUGCAUGCCUAGGUGUUUGUACAUACAGGUUCUCCCAGCUCGAAACUCAGAGGUGCUCCUUAAUGCAAAGGCUGUGCCCUUGUUGAAGCCUAGGCUGAUUCAUGCAUCAACAAGAAAGGAGCACAUUAGUAACUGUGCAGCUAUUUGUUAGCUAUGUGUUGCAGAGUAUGGGUGUACAGACCGCGGCCUGCAUUCAGGCGAACACAAACAGCUCAUUAGUCAUGCCUGGAGCAGCCAUUGGAUGGCUUCCCUUGGCCAGGCUCUUUCAGAGCAAUUAGGGCUGGGAUUUCCAUCUCCGCAGUGACCCCCCAGCCUUCUUCCUGUGUUGCUGUUCCUGUGGCUCCACAGCUUCAUAUCAUUAACAUUCUCCCAGUUGCUUUAUGAUCCCCUAGGGCUGCUGUGAUCAAUAGCUCUUCCUGCUUCUUCUGAGCUCUCCCCUUAAGGACUCGUCUUCCUGGUGAGUAAUGCCCAUCUUCAGGUGCACCUUUCAUUCCCUGGGAGCCCCGUGGCACAGCGCACUGCAGCCGCACACAGAUCUGCAGCUCCAUGACUCAUCUCUUUCUGGAUCCUCUGCAUCCAAGAAGCAUCGUGCUGGACAGCAAUAGUAAAUCUCCUAGUGAAAGCCAGAUUCAGUGCUGGUGCUUAUUUGUGUUUCUCCAAAGCAGAACGCUGUUAUAUAAAUGCCAACAGCAGCAGUGGCACUUAGUGCUGGAGAGAAACAGUGAUGCAACGGUCUUUGCUUUUGAACAACAGAUGUACUCAAAAGCAGGGAUACUUUGAGGAAGAAGCUAUACUGUGUGUUUCUUUCCAUGCUUGCUCUUUUUAAAUAAUAGUAAUAGUAGUAAUAAUAAUAAAGGAAUGCCUUUGAA